UACGUAGGGUGCAAGCGUUAAUCGGAAUUACUGGGCGUAAAGCGCGCGCAGGCGGUCCUUUAAGUCUACCCGUGAAAUGCCGGAGCUCAACUCCGUGCACGCCGGGGAUACUGGGGACUGGGAGACAUGGUAGAGGCAAGCGGAAUUCCGGGUGUAGCGGUGGAAUGCGUAGAUAUCCGGAAGAACACCUGAGGCGAAGGCGGCUUGCUGGGCAUGAUCUGACGCUGAGGCGCGAAAGCUAGGGUAGCAAACGGG
rnacentral:rRNA from 1 species